UGUUCCAAGUCAACCAGUGGAUUUCCCGUACUCCUGCCUUUCCUUUUCUCCUUUUUCUAGUCCUCCCGGUUUUGACCCUUGCCUGUUCUGGACUCUGUACCCACCUGCCUGACCAUUCAGCCUGCCUUGACCACGAGCCUUUCUGCUACUCUGUACCUCCUGGACUCUGAUCUGGUUUUGACCUUUUGCCUGUCCACGACUAUUCUCUUGCCUCCUCCUUUUGGAUUAUUAAACAUUGUAAAACUCCAACCUGAUGCCUCCUGUGUCUGCAUCUGGGUCUCGCCCUUGUGUCAUGAUAAUUUAGCCUGGCAGAGGACCUAAAAAAAAGUCACAUGGCAGAGGAAAUAUCAUCAAGCCAUUUGCUAACACCAUGGGCAGACCAAAGGCAAUGUGAUCUUCGGAUAAGAAAAAGGAGGUCUGCCAAAGAAAUUCAACCGUGAGCUGCAGAAACUACAAGAUCAGUUGAGGAAAGUCGAACAGCGAGCAGAAAAAUAUAGAAAGCGUCUCCAAAAAUCUAAAUGGGACCACCCGUCUCCAAGAUCCAAAGUCAACAAGUUGGUUCCGCAAAUCUCGGGCACAUCCUUAAGGAGAACCCUGUUGUUUCAUACAGCAGUAGCUGAGGAAAUACGUAACAAGUACGCACAUUCAAAGAGGGAGCGUGAUAGACAAGUCAUUGCAGGAAUAGUCACCAGCAGAAUCCUGAAAAAGUACAGGUUGCAGAGAUUGGCAGAGGAGGUUUUUGGAUUUUCAAGGAGGUGGACAAAACUGGCAAAUGAAAAUGUCUACAGGUACCAGAGGAAGAAGCCCGAGGGUAUUGCUGCCACGAUGAGAUCAACGGUGAGAUUAUUAUUUUUACUUGACGAUGUCAGCAGAAUCACAACUGGGGGAAAAAGAAAAUGGUGACAAGAAAAUGCAGAAAAGAUUACUGGUGGAUUCAAUGAAGAACCUCAAUUUGAAGUUCCUGGAUGAGCAUACCAACCUCCGUCUAUCAUAUUCACCUCUCUGCACACUUCGCCCCUACUGGGUUGUGCGUCCAACAUUGGCAGAUCGUGACACAUGCAUGUGCAAACAACAUGAAAAUCUAUGCUUUAUUGCCAAAAAGCUUCACCAGAUGCACAUCAUCGACUCAUCCGAUGUGGAGAGCCUGACACAUGACCCCACAAACAAGCAAUGUAUGUAUGGGGAAUGUGAGCAAUGCAGCAAUUAAUAUCUAUCCCCUCAAAAGCCACUACAGAGCACCUCCUACCUUCAGUAGGCCACUGUGGACAAAGAGCACAAAAAUGAUCCAAACUGAAGGGACCACCUGCCACAUAGCAACACCUGGAGCCCAUCAUGAGGGAAAUCCAAGAGAGAUGCCCGGAUGUGACAAUCGUCUAUUUAAAAAAAAAAAAAUUUUUUUAGCAAUGAUCCCUGCACACAGUACAAGCCGUGUGGUAAUUUGUACCUCUUUUGUACUGACACUUUUCAAGAAGGGGUUUACAAGAGGAACCUGGAACUACUUCAAACCCAGUCGUGGCAAAGGUGCCCCAGGUGGUGUGGGUGGCACAUUGAAGAGGAUAUCCCCACAGAGUUGAUAUCCCCACGGCAUUAUCCCUGUACCAAGCUCUGAGUGAGGGACAAUCAAAGGUGAAAUUGUUUUACAUCCAGGAGCAAGCUGUGGAGGAUGCAGUGAAAGAAAUGCCAGCUGACCUUCCAGCCGUACCGUCCACAAUGAGGCUCCACCAGGUGGUCACUCUUUCACCUGGGACAAUUCUCUACCGCGACGUCCGCUGCCUGUGUUCUGCAACAGGAAAUCUGGAGUGUGAUUGCCAAAAAACAAAGUGCUUCAGCUUUAAUCUCACAGAUGACCACACAGAAGACCCCAUACACAGCACACCAGAAGAAGUGCAGUGGCACAGUCCAGAGGUUGUGGGGAAAUGGUGUGCCCUGGUGUACCACCACACCAUCGACCCAGGGAUCAUCCAAGAGGUGAAUAAGACCCACUGCCAGGUGAAAUGUAUGCAGAGUGGGGGUGAACCGUCCCGCAACGGCCAGAAAAAAACCUUUGGUAUCCCUUUGAGGAUGUGCUGGCCCUCAUUCGUCCCCCAGAGAACAUUACCUCACACCACAUGGCCAUCGCAAAUGAGGUAUGGGAUACUCCGGCCAGCCACUAAAAUUAUCUGAAGAGAACAUCAGCUUUCUAAAAUAUUGAUCAGUGCAUGACUAAUUUUGAUAUGCUCAUUUAAUGUCGCCCUACUGUAAUAUGACUAUUUAUUUUUUAUAUUUGUCCAUUGUAAUAUUUGAUCAGAUCCAGUUUGUGGUCUUGUUGACAUGUUUAUUUUUUAUCAUUCAUACUCAUCCUGUUGAUCCUCAUUUUAAAAGAUAUAUUAAAUAUUAUUAAACAAUG